CGUAAUCGUCCUUCAGCGAUCACUGCUCGGCGUGUUUUGAGUCACCAGCCUGUCCACCUGCCUGUCCAGAAUUUGGAUCACGAUCAACCCCAGCCGCCUCGCCCUUUCUGGAGCUUCUCCCCACGGACCCUCACCCCUCCCUCCGGUUCCCUUGGCCCCGCUAUCAUCCCUCCCACGGUCCCGCUCUCGGCGUUUCCUGCGCGAUUCUUCUCCCGGUCCCUCGGUUUCUCUGGUUCCGUGCGUUUUCUCCCUUCUACUCUCCCGGGACACUCUCAGUUAUAAUAAAGUUUAUUUUUUCUCUCGUACCGCUGUGUGUGUGUUCUGCUCCUGGGUCCAGCUUGUGUGUUGAACUUCGG